rnacentral:rRNA from 1 species
UACGUAGGGGGGCAAGCGUUGUCCGGAUUUAUUGGGCGUAAAGAGCGUGUAGGCGGUCAGGUAGGUCCGUUGUGAAAACUCGAGGCUCAACCUCGAGACGCCGAUGGAAACCAUCUGACUAGAGUCCGGAAGAGGAGAGUGGAAUUCCUGGUGUGAGCGGUGAAAUGCGCAGAUAUCAGGAAGAACACCCGUGGCUAAGGCGGCUCUCUAGUACGGUACUGACGCUGAGACGCGAAAGCGUGGGGAGCGAACAGG